rnacentral:rRNA from 1 species
AACGAACGCUGGCGGCAUGCCUAACACAUGCAAGUCGAACGGGAUCCUAGCUUGCUAGGUGAGAGUGGCGGACGGGUGAGUAACACGUGGGAAUCUGCCUUUUGGUUCGGGAUAACCGCGGGAAACUGCGGCUAAUACCGAAUGCCCUCGUGAGAGGAAAGAUUUAUCGCCAGAAGAGGAGCCCGCGUCCGAUUAGGUAGUUGGUGGGGUAAAGGCCUACCAAGCCGACGAUCGGUAGCUGGUCUGAGAGGAUGAUCAGCCACACUGGGACUGAGAUACGGCCCAGACUCCUACGGGAGGCAGCAGUGGGGAAUAUUGGACAAUGGGGCAACCCUGAUCCAGCAAUGCCGCGUGAGUGAUGAAGGCCUUAGGGUUGUAAAGCUCUUUUACCAGGGAUGAUAAUGACAGUACCUGGAGAAUAAGCUCCGGCUAACUCCGUGCCAGCAGCCGCGGUAAU